CGCGUAGGCGGUCUUGUAAGUCCCGUGUGAAAUCCCUCGGCUCAACUGAGGAAUGGCACGGGAAACUGCUUGGCUUGAGUUCGGGAGAGGGAAGCGGAAUUCCGGGUGUAGCGGUGAAAUGCGUAGAUAUCCGGAGGAACACCGGUGGCGAAGGCGGCUUCCUGGACCGACACUGACGCUGAGGCGCGAAAGCUAGGGGAGCAAACG
rnacentral:rRNA from 1 species